rnacentral:ncRNA from 1 species
AUUAGUCUUCGGGGCAAGGUGAAAAUCCUGACCGGCGGUUAAGCCCGCGAGCCCCGCACGAGCGGCCCACCAGCGUAAUACCAAUUAAGCGCUGGGUGCCUAAGUGUUGUGCGGUUGGCAGAUCUGGCAAUAUUCCAGAGCCGAUGGUGCCACGGAAAGUGGCUGCA